AAAAGUUAAAAUUGAAGAAAUUUCGUGUCAAUUAAUAUGUUUAUCAAUCUAUAUAUACCCAUCACUUUAGUCUCAAAUGGAUACAAUAACUCCAUAAACCAAGGAAGUAGCAAAUCUUAAGAGCUCUUUACUAAUUGUUCAUCAAAAGCUACGAUGGAAACAUACUAUCGUAUGCAUUCCUCCCUAAGAGAAGAGAAUUUUGGUGAUCGAUUCGCAUUCACAUGUAACGGAUGUAAGGAAAUGGGCUAUGACUCUUGCUAUACAUGCACAAAUAAAUGCAACUACCAUUUGCAUACCACUUGUCAAAACGCUCCUCCAGUGAUAUGUCAUCCUUUCUUCGGACAAGGCCAAUUUGUGUUAGAUAAGAGUAUGUUGCCACCAUACAAUCAUCAAGGAUUAGCAAACUUAUGUGUUGCUUGUGGCACAAUUGUGCAAGGAUGGAGGUACGUAUUGGCUAUCAAUGGUGGUUAUACCAUUUUUUUACACCCUUGUUGCAUGACACUUCCUCAUUUAACCUUGUAUGCAAAGCUCGAAAAUGUCAAUUGUGUGCAUUGUCAAAGUUCGAGAGUAGGAAAUGAAGGAGCACAAGGGUGGGCGUACGUUAAGAAUGGUUUUGCAGUUCAUGUUAAGUGCAUGAAAGAUAUGUUGCACAAGGAUUGGGAGAGAAAAUACUACUCAUGUCCACCUAAUUAUGAUGGACAUACAAAUCAUAAUUAUGGUACUUAAGAAGGCGGUCUCAAUUCUCGAGUCAAUCAAGAUGGAGUAGGAGGCCGCUAUGGAAAUGGCUUACAAGUGUUGGCACAAAUUUAAAGUAUUUUUUAUUCUCUUGGUCUGGUAUAAUCGAUAAUGAAAGCAUUGGUGGAAUUGCAUUUAGUAUUUGGGAGAACUAGAAAUUUCACACUAUUAAACGGACAUUGCUACAUCUACCCACCAAGUAGACUAUCCGCUACUAAUAGAUAAUUAAAAUAUUAGUAUUUAAGUCUAGUUGGAUUCCACUAUCAUAAUUACCAUAACUUUAUUUUAUGGGGUGGGUAAUCUACCCGGUGGAUUAACCAAGUUUUUUCCCUAUUAAACGUAUGUUCUCUCACAAUCUCGAAGAUAAAUUAAUGUAAUUUAUAAUAUUUAUAUUAUGGUGGUUGCUUUUGAGUUUUGACCUUAUCUGUAAUCAUUUUAGUAUGUUCAUGAAUGAAACGAUAAGAUGUAUCAUCAUUAUAUUAUGAACAUCAUAUUUUUCGAUUAA